AAAAUACUGAUCCCACCGCCCGCGCAGCCUCUUUCUAAGUUCUAACCCUAAAAUCUAAAUUCUACUUUCAGAUCUGAUUUCUUCGAUUAGUUAUUGCAAAUCUCAGAAAUUCUUCUUCUUCCUGCCUUCUUGGUGUUUUGGGGAAACAUAGUUCAAGAGUCUUGAACUAUGCCUCAGGUUCAGUAGAUUAUUACAAGUGCAGUGAAGAGUCAGACUUGUUAUGCACACCUCCGAUUGGACGUAUGGAGGGCCGGCCGACCCGCGUUUUCAUGACCGUCGGCGGGUUUUGAAGUGCCCAGGGCGGUAGCGCAAACCUCGGGUGUAUAUUUGAUUUUUGGAUUUUUGAAAAAACGGAUCCGGAUAUUAUCCGUAUCCGGAUAAUAUCCGACGGAUACGGAUACGGAUCUUUUUAUUCAAAAGUUUGCGGAUACGGAUCCGGAUUCGGAUACGGUUUUUAGUAGGCGGAUACGGAUACGGAUAUGGGCAAAUCCGUAUCCGUUUUAUCCGUUUGACAGC
rnacentral:lncRNA from 1 species